AUUGAACGCUGGCGGCGUGCCUAACACAUGCAAGUCGAGCGGCAGCGCGGGAGCAAUCCUGGCGGCGAGCGGCGGACGGGUGAGUAACGCUUGGGAAUCUGCCUGUUAGUGGGGGACAACCCGGGGAAACUCGGGCUAAUACCGCAUACGCACUACGGUGGAAAGCCGGGGACCGCAAGGCCUGGCGCUAACAGAUGAGCCCAAGUCGGAUUAGCUAGUUGGUAGGGUAACGGCCUACCAAGGCGACGAUCCGUAACUGGUCUGAGAGGACGACCAGUCACACCGGAACUGAGACACGGUCCGGACUCCCACGGGAGGCAGCAGUGGGGAAUAUUGGACAAUGGGGGAAACCCUGAUCCAGCGACGCCGCGUGGGUGAAGGAGGCCUGCGGGUUGUAAAGCCCUUUCAGUGGGGAAGAAAAGCCUCGACCUAACACGUCGGGGUCUUGACGUAACCCAUAGAAGAAGCACCGGCUAACUCUGUGCCAGCAGCCGCAGUAA
rnacentral:rRNA from 1 species